rnacentral:rRNA from 1 species
UACGUAGGGCGCAAGCGUUGUCCGGAAUUAUUGGGCGUAAAGAGCUCGUAGGCGGCCUGUUGCGUCCGCUGUGAAAUCCCGGGGCUUAACCCCGGGCGUGCAGUGGAUACGGGCAGGCUGGAGGCAGGCAGGGGAGAACGGAAUUCCCGGUGUAGCGGUGGAAUGCGCAGAUAUCAGGAGGAACACCGGUGGCGAAGGCGGGUCUCUGGGCCGAUACUGACGCUGAGGAGCGAAAGCGUGGGGAGCGAACAGG